AGGACUGUUCCACAGCAGAACUCGAGGGGGGAGCGCGGGCUCCUGAACCAGGCAGGUCAGCUUCACCGAGGGCAUCAGUUGAGGGGCCAGAGACGAAAGGCAGCAUUGUCUUUGGAAGGUGGCGAGGUUUGGCGCCCUCAAAGGAAGAGCGGUUGGGAGCUCGCCAAAACCCCAGGGAGAAGAGAUGAAGCAGCUGUCCUCCAACGCGGCCACCCCUCUGCGGAGAACCGACCCCGGGCUCUGGGGAGCAGACCGUCCUCAGGAGCCCCGGGAAGAGGGAGCCUGCGGCCCGGCCGCCUCCAGGGGGCGCUCCUUCCACGCGGCGCGGACCCGGAAGCCCGGACUUCUGCACGCUGAGCCUCCCCGCCCCCCCACCACCGGGGCCGCGAUGUGCCGUGAAAUUGAGAACAAAAGAAAAUUUCUGCACCUCCCAUGUAUUUAUAUACAUGUCCACUGUUCUAGUUGUGCUUACCAGCAUUCCUCAGCGCUUUCCUGACAGUCUGACCAUCUGUGGGGUUGGCGUGGGCUCAGGAAUAGAGGCGGGACCCACUCUCCAGCAGCCAAGCUUGGGUCCUCCGCCUCCCGCCUGUAUCCCUUUUAAGUGGUCCCGCUGCUGCAAAAGAAGUGUCAGUCACUCUUCAUUGCAGCUCAAAGUCGUAAUACUUAAUACACCGCAGUGCAUUAAAACAAAUACACACAGG